rnacentral:rRNA from 1 species
GACGAACGCUGGCGGCGUGCUUAACACAUGCAAGUCGAACGGUAAGGCCCUUCGGGGUACACGAGUGGCGAACGGGUGAGUAACACGUGGGUGAUCUGCCCUGCACUUCGGGAUAAGCCUGGGAAACUGGGUCUAAUACCGGAUAGGACUCCGGACUGCAUGGUCUGGGGUGGAAAGCUUUUACGGUGUGGGAUGGGCCCGCGGCCUAGCAGCUUGUUGGUGGGGUGAUGGCCUACCAAGGCGACGACGGGUAGCCGGCCUGAGAGGGUGACCGGCCACACUGGGACUGAGAUACGGCCCAGACUCCUACGGGAGGCAGCAGUGGGGAAUAUUGCACAAUGGGCGCAAGCCUGAUGCAGCGACGCCGCGUGAGGGAUGACGGCCUUCGGGUUGUAAACCUCUUUCAGCAUCGACGAAGCGAAAGUGACGGUAGGUGCAGAAGAAGGACCGGCCAACUACGUGCCAGCCGCCGCAGUAA